rnacentral:rRNA from 1 species
AUUGAACGCUGGCGGAAUGCUUUACACAUGCAAGUCGAACGGCAGCACGGGGGCAACCCUGGUGGCGAGUGGCGAACGGGUGAGUAAUACAUCGGAACGUGCCCAGUCGUGGGGGAUAACGUAGCGAAAGCUACGCUAAUACCGCAUACGAACUCUGGUUGAAAGCGGGGGACUCGCAAGAGCCUCGCGCGAUUGGAGCGGCCGAUGGCAGAUUAGGUAGUUGGUGGGGAAAGGCUCACCAAGCCGACGAUCUGUAGCUGGUCUGAGAGGACGACCAGCCACACUGGGACUGAGACACGGCCCAGACUCCUACGGGAGGCAGCAGUGGGGAAUUUGGACAAUGGACGCAAGUCUGAUCCAGCCAUUCCGCGUGCAGGAUGAAGGCCCUCGGGUUGUAAACUGCUUUUGUACGAACGAAAGGCCUGAGUUAAUACCUCGGGCUCAUGACGGUACCGUAAGAAUAAGCACCGGCUAACUACGU